UACGAAGGUGGCAAGCGUUGUUCGGAUUUACUGGGCGUACAGGGAGCGUAGGCGGUUGGAUAAGCCCUCCGUGAAAUCUCCAGGCUUAACCUGGAAAGUGCAGAGGGGACUGUUCAGCUAGAGGAUGGGAGAGGAGCGCGGAAUUCCCGGUGUAGCGGUGAAAUGCGUAGAGAUCGGGAGGAACACCAGUGGCGAAGGCGGCUCGCUGGGCCGGUCCUGACACUGAGACGCGAAGGCGUGGGGAGCGAACGGG
rnacentral:rRNA from 1 species